rnacentral:rRNA from 1 species
AUUGAGCGCUGGCGGCAGGCCUAACACAUGCAAGUCGAAUGGUAACAGGAAACAGCUUGCUGUUUCGCUGACGAGUGGCGGACGGGUGAGUAAUGUCUGGGAAACUGCCUGAUGGAGGGGGAUAACUACUGGAAACGGUAGCUAAUACCGCAUAACGUCGCAAGACCAAAGAGGGGGACCUUCGGGCCUCUUGCCAUCAGAUGUGCCCAGAUGGGAUUAGCUAGUAGGUGGGGUAACGGCUCACCUAGGCGACGAUCCCUAGCUGGUCUGAGAGGAUGACCAGCCACACUGGAACUGAGACACGGUCCAGACUCCUACGGGAGGCAGCAGUGGGGAAUAUUGCACAAUGGGCGCAAGCCUGAUGCAGCCAUGCCGCGUGUAUGAAGAAGGCCUUCGGGUUGUAAAAUACUUUCAGCGGGGAGGAAGGGAGUAAAGUUAAUACCUUUGCUCAUUGACGUUACCCGCAGAAGAAGCACCGGCUAACUCCGUG